UUGAAGGAAAGAACCAUAGAUUUAGACCACUGAACAAAACAUUUAUUUAGCCCAAAAUAAACAGCUAUUAUAAAUUAUUAACAUUUAUUGAAUAUUACCUGGAGAUAUGAAGACUUUUAAAAGGUAAAACAGUUUAUGUUAAUAUGUUAAAGUUAUGGUAAUGGGCCAAAUACACGUAAGUUGUGACAAUACACCAUACUUUACUCAUGGACUGCCAGCUGAUUCUGGUUUAUACAUAAACAUUUAAUUGCAUUCGGUACGAACACAACACGUUGCUUUACCACUUGAAAAUUUUGUAAUUAUUUUACACGCUUAUACAGUAUUUUGUUUAAUUGCUACGGCAAUAAAAUCAAUAAAUUAAUGGAAGAAUCUACAAAGAGCUUGCGUUUUUGGGUGAUAUCAGUAUCUGUUGGUUAGGCUAAGUGUUUCUAAUGAAACUCUUAACUACCAAUUUCUUACAGGAUGGUGGUGUGUACGCCGCUACACACAAACUACCUCUUUAAAACAGGCUGCCGUGACCCGGAUUCGAACCGGGGUUGCUGCGGCCACAACGCAGAGUACUAACCACUAUACGAUCACGGCUGGCCAUCUACUCUGGCAGUACAACAUCAUACAACAUUUUCCUUAUCAGCAAUAGCGUUAAUUUAAUUUAGAUAAUAGAUAUUGCUCUUAAAUAAGAAGUGCAUUCAACUGCUGGACUUAUACACAUUUUACGUUUGUAUUCCUAUCUUAAUAUUUGUAUGCUUAGCGUUUUAUUUCAUCACAGUUUGCACCUGUGAUACUCGAAUCUCACAAUGCUGAACCUUGUUACCUGUAUGCAGUGGUGGAAGAAGUAUUCAGAUCUUUUACUUAACUAAAAGUACAUAAGUAAAAGCAUCCAAAUAUACUUGAAGUACCAAAGUAAAAGUACUUAUUAUGCAGAAUGGUCCAUUUCAGAAUCAUAUAUAUUAUAUAACUGGAUCAUAAUUAGUGAUACAUUAAUGUGUACAUCACUUUAAUGUUGCAGCUGUUAAAUGAGGGACUAAUUUGAAUGACUUUAUAUACUGCUUAACCUAUAAUAAUAUAUCAUAAUUUAUUAGUUGAUUUAUACUUUGUAUUUAUCAUCUAAAUUUGCAAAGUAACAAGUAACUACAUCUAUCAAAUAAAUGAGUAAAAAGUGCAGUAUUUCCCUCUGAACUGUAGUGGAGUAGAAGUAUAAAGGAACAUAAAAUGGUAAUACUCUAGUAUUUAAGCCUAGUUAAGUACAGUACUUAGAUACGCUUGUCCACAGAAGGGGCCUCUUACCAACCAGCAGAACCAGGUUUUACUGUCUGCAUGAUUUAAGAAAGCAUCGUUCUCCUGGUCAUCGUCUUUGAUUGAAUCCCGGCUGGUGGUGAUGAAAGGACCACGUUUCUUUAUCUGACAUCUUCUCGUCUAUCUCUGAGUCAAAACAGGAUGCCGUGACCCGGAUUCGAACCGGGGUUGCUGCGGCCACAACGCAGAGUACUAACCACUAUACGAUCACGGCUGGCCACGAAGUCUGACAGAUGAAAGCCCUCAAUGAACUUGGACCUACAGGGUGCUGCGUCAACAUGGUCCUACAAUUUGUCCACAAACUCCCGUAACCCCAACAACUCUGCCAUCAGGAUAUUGGAAUGUGUGGAAUAUACAGUGAAUUCAGCACCAUCAUCCUGGAAGUGCUAUGUGGGCAAAUUUCCCAGCUGAACAUCACUUCAUAAAUCUGCUGGUGGAUAUUAUUAGACUUCCUUUAUCAACCGUGACCCCACCUGUCUUCGCUGUAUCACUGAGAGAGAUGUGUUGCUCUAUCCUCUACACUACUCCCUCUACACCGACGACUGCAUGUCUUGCUUCCUGUCUGUCAGAUGGUCUAUGACCCUUUUGGGUAAAAGACUGUCUCUGAUCUGCCACCAGCAGCAAACUAAAGGUGAGGAUGCAAUUGCAAAGAAAAAUGCUAGAAAUUACCCACUAGAAACUUAUCCUUCUAAACGAUAUGACUAACCUUGAAUUAUAUGCCCUAUGGUAAUUUGUUUUACUUGUUGUUUGGUUGUUUUUGCUGUCCUGCUUUAUUGUCUGUUAAUAUUUUGUUUCGAUUACAUUGUCAGCUGAAUUUGAUGUAAACUUUAUCUGUGUCUUUUUUGCUGUUUUUUUAUACCUUGAAACCAAUGUACUGUUAAAAAAGUACAUUUACUCAAGUACUGCACUUAUGUACAAUUUUAUGUUACGUUAUAAUUCUACUCAACUACAUUUCUGAGGGAAAUAAUGUACUUUUUACUCCACUACAUUUAUUUGACAGAUAUAAUUACUAGUUAUUUUAAAAUUAAGAUUUUACAUUAAAAAACAUACAGUGAGCUUAUAAAUUGCACUACAUUGGCUAGUUUUUGACGUGUGACCUCUUACAAAAAAGCAGAGUCUACUUGGGGGUUUUACAUUUCUUUGAGUUGUUAGCACUUCAUAAGAGUGAUUUCCUCUUUAAACCUCUUAGAUGGUUUCAUUUAAAUAAUGGCUUGAGGCCUAAAAAGGUAAAAUGAUCCAAUAUUUCACAUAAAAGUAAAGUCCAAAAAAAAAAAGAAAAGAAAUUUACGUAGCAGAACUUUGUAUUUUCUUCGUUGCUACCUCAUUCAUCAUCUCACGACCCCUCAGAUUUAUCUUGCAACCCUUUGAAGAUCCCGGACCCCAGGUUGGUAACCACUGGAUUAAACUAGCUAAGUGUAAAUAAAGUAGUUGAAACUAGCUCCACCUUGACCUGCUACAACAGUGAAAUGCUGCUUACACAUGAAUGCAUUAGUGUUUACUAUCUAAUAAAGUAAUGUAUAAUAA